ncrna:unclassified sequences PhotoRC-II RNA
UUAUCAAUAUUUGCUCCCGCUAACCAAGACCUAUGGGAGGAUAAAUUACGUCUUUUUAUCCAGUAGUGAGGGAUUACUGGAAAUAAGUUUCGCU